UGCAAGACACAGUCUCAUCGAACAUUCAAA
rnacentral:piRNA from 1 species